rnacentral:ncRNA from 1 species
AAGAGCCGUGUAACGGAAGACUGUUACGCACGGUUCUAUGAGAAUCUCGAGCUGAAAUGCUCGGGUUUACUUGAC